GGGGAAUAUUGCGCAAUGGGGGCAACCCUGACGCAGCAAUACCGCGUGAGUGAAGAAGGUUUUCGGAUCGUAAAGCUCUGUUAUUGGGGAAGAAAACAUGACGGUACCCAAUGAGGAAGUCCCGGCUAACUACGUGCCAGCAGCCGCGGUAAUACGUAGGGGACAAGCGUUGUCCGGAAUGACUGGGCGUAAAGGGCGCGUAGGCGGUCUAUUAAGUCUGAUGUGAAAGGUACCGGCUCAACCGGUGAAGUGCAUUGGAAACUGGUAGACUUGAGUAUUGGAGAGGCAAGUGGAAUUCCUAGUGUAGCGGUGAAAUGCGUAGAUAUUAGGAGGAACACCAGUGGCGAAGGCGGCUUGCUGGACAAAUACUGACGCUGAGGUGCGAAAGCGUGGGGAGCGAAC
rnacentral:rRNA from 1 species